CAGUCGCCACGGGAAUACGUAGGGUGCAAGCGUUAAUCGGAAUUACUGGGCGUAAAGCGUGCGCAGGCGGUUAUAUAAGUCAGAUGUGAAAUCCCCGGGCUCAACCUGGGAACUGCAUUUGGGACUGUACGGCUAGAGUGUGUCAGAGGGGGGUAGAAUUCCACGUGUAGCAGUGAAAUGCGUAGAUAUGUGGAGGAAUACCGAUGGCGAAGGCAGCCCCCUGGGAUAACACUGACGCUCAUGCACGAAAGCGUGGGGAGCAAACAGGAUUAGAUACCCGCGUAGUCCCUGUCUCUUAUAC
rnacentral:rRNA from 1 species